rnacentral:tRNA from 1 species
AUCCCUGUAGCUCAGUCGGUCAGAGCACUCCCCUCAUAAGGGAAAGGCCACUGGUUCAAGUCCAGUCAGGGAUAC